UACGGAGGGGGCUAGCGUUGUUCGGAAUUACUGGGCGUAAAGCGCGCGUAGGCGGUUUAGCAAGUUAGAGGUGAAAGCCCGAAGCUCAACUUCGGAAUUGCCUUUAAAACUGCAAAGCUAGAAUCAUGGAGAGGUGAGUGGAAUUCCGAGUGUAGAGGUGAAAUUCGUAGAUAUUCGGAAGAACACCAGUGGCGAAGGCGACUCACUGGACAUGUAUUGACGCUGAGGUGCGAAAGCGUGGGGAGCAAACAGG
rnacentral:rRNA from 1 species